UACGGAGGGUGCAAGCGUUACUCGGAAUCACUGGGCGUAAAGGAUGCGUAGGCUGGAAAUCAAGUCGAGAGUGCAAUCCAACGGCUCAACCGUUGAACUGCUCUCGAAACUGGUUACCUAGAAUAUGGGAGAGGUAGAUGGAAUUAGUGGUGUAGGGGUAACAUCCGUAGAUAUCACUAGGAAUACCGAUUGCGAAGGCGAUCUACUGGAACAUUAUUGACGCUGAGGCAUGAAAGCGUGGGGAGCCAACAGGCUGAGAUCCCACUGGAGUCC
rnacentral:rRNA from 1 species